rnacentral:tRNA from 1 species
AACUAUCGAGGGUUCGAAUCCCUCUCUCUCCU